rnacentral:rRNA from 1 species
UGAUAACUAGCUGUCCGGGGACUUGGUCUUUGGGUGGCGCAGCUAACGCAUUAAGUUAUCCGCCUGGGGAGUACGGUCGCAAGAUUAAACUCAAAGGAAUUGACGGGGGCCUGCACAAGCGGUGGAGCAUGUGGUUUAAUUCGAAGCAACGCGCAGAACCUUACCAGCGUUUGACAUGUCCGGACGACUUCGAGAGAUCGAUUUCUUCCCUUCGGGGACUGGAACACAGGUGCUGCAUGGCUGUCGUCAG